rnacentral:rRNA from 1 species
UACGGGGGGGGCAAGCGUUGUUCGGAAUUACUGGGCGUAAAGGGUUCGUAGGGGGCAAAUUAAGUCAGAGGUGAAAUCCCUCGGCUUAACCGGGGAACUGCGUCUGAUACUGGAUGGCUUGAGUGUGGGAGAGGGAUGCGGAAUUCCAGGUGUAGCGGUGAAAUGCGUAGAUAUCUGGAGGAACACCGGUGGCGAAGGCGGCAUCCUGGACCACGACUGACGCUGAGUGAGCGAAAGCCAGGGGAGCAAACGGG